AUUGAACGCUGGCGGCAGGCUUAACACAUGCAAGUCGAGCGGAGAUGAGGUGCUUGCACCUUAUCUUAGCGGCGGACGGGUGAGUAAUGCUUAGGAAUCUGCCUAUUAGUGGGGGACAACAUUCCGAAAGGAAUGCUAAUACCGCAUACGUCCUACGGGAGAAAGCAGGGGAUCUUCGGACCUUGCGCUAAUAGAUGAGCCUAAGUCGGAAUAGCUAGUUGGUGGGGUAAAGGCCUACUAAGGCGACGAUCUGUAGCGGGUCUGAGAGGAUGAUCCGCCACACUGGGACUGAGACACGGCCCAGACUCCUACGGGAGGCAGCAGUGGGGAAUAUUGGACAAUGGGGGAAACCCUGAUCCAGCCAUGCCGCGUGUGUGAAGAAGGCCUUAUGGUUGUAAAGCACUUUAAGCGAGGAGGAGGCUACUGAGACUAAUACUCUUGGAUAAUGGACGUUACUCGCAGAAUAAGCACCGGCUAACUCUGUGCCAGCCGCCGCUGUAAGAC
rnacentral:rRNA from 1 species